rnacentral:rRNA from 1 species
GACGAACGCUGGCGGCGUGCUUAACACAUGCAAGUCGAACGAGAAGAGAUGAGAAGCUUGCUUCUUAUUGAUUCGAGUGGCAAACGGGUGAGUAACGCGUAAGCAACCUGCCCUUCAGAUGGGGACAACAGCUGGAAACGGCUGCUAAUACCGCAUAAGCCCACGACCCGGCAUCGGGUUGAGGGAAAAGGAGCAAUCCGCUUUGAGAUGGCCUCGCGUCCGAUUAGCUGGUUGGUGAGGUAACGGCCCACCAAGGCAACGAUCGGUAGCCGGACUGAGAGGGUGAACGGCCACAUUGGGACUGAGACACGGCCCAG